rnacentral:misc_RNA from 1 species
AUUGCUUAGAUAGUUUUAAAUUACUGUUUCGUAGUAAUACUCUCUGUAUGGACCUCCUUGCUGCUUCAGAGGUUCCAAUAUAAUGGGUCUGAGAAGUUGAAUCAGAUUUUAGAUUAUUAAACGGUUCAUUUAUAUUUUCUGUCUUCUUUCCUUCUUUCCCUCUUUGCUUUAUUAGAACUGUUUUAAUGGGUUUUCCUUGAGGGAAAUCAUACAACCUUUCUGGUGAAAUUAAAUUUUUAUCACGGAGUCAAGGCAUCA